CCUAUACAGCUUUACUGUAACUUGAUGUUGACACUGUAAUUAUUAGAUGUAGCAUACAAGGGAGAACUUAGUUCAAUAGUGAAAUACCUUGACUAGUAUAUUACGGUAUCCAAUCUAUUAUAAUAAGGGUAUAUUUACCUAAAGAGACAUCAUCAAGUGGUCAGUUUUACUGGGGCGGUAUUCUCUAACAUAGUAUCAGAGAACUACCNNNNNNNNNNGCUUUUACUAUAGCUAGAUAGG
rnacentral:ncRNA from 1 species